CCAUGUGUUCUUUUGUUCUUCUGUGUUCGCGAGGAAGAAGAUGAUGAGACGAUAGUGAGAUCACAACCAGACAAAAAGAGAGAAGUCAUAAUUUAAGUGACAGAGCCUUCUGAUUGCUAAAGCUAACACAUAAGAGCAAAAGUUACACGGGGUGACCAAAUCUCGACCCAAUGGCUAAUACAGUAUCAGGUACAUGACUUACUACCAAAUAGCCAAAAGCUAAAGUACACAUCUCAAUUGUCGAACAAGGUGAUAGGGUAAAGUACUGACAUUGGGGCUAGGCGAUAAGAACAUAUGAUAACAAAGCAGAGUUUAAGACAGUAAGCUAAGAUAACAAACCAUCUGAACCGUCAAUUGCACAAACAAAUAAUUCAACCAAACAAAGUUCUGAUCAUUUUUAGUAAAUCUUUCACAUUCUGAUCACCAUAUUAGACAGAUAUUAGUCUUGCGAAUGUUCUCAUGAAAAAAAAACUCUGGCAAGCCAUCAGCUCAGACUUAAACUGUGAAAGCCUGAGCACACUAAUCUUUAUCUCUGUUUCUACUACUUAUAAGGUUAUCAACAUAUUCAUUCCAACGUCCACCCCACUAAAUGUACACGGAGUAUUAAUAGCUCCACAAUUAGACUCACUAUCUCUAUUACUUAUAAAGACACCAACAUAUUCAUCCCAACGUCCACCCCACUAAAUGUACCCAGAGUAUUAAUAGCUCCACAAUCAGACUCACUAAAUACGAAUUAAUUGCUAACUGUGCGCUCAGUGAUUAACUAUUCGGGCUGAAGGAGAAUUUUUCAGCCCCAAAACGUUUUUUCUUUCUUUUUCUCCUCACCUCGCCAGCCUCGAACGCCGCCUCCUCCUCCUUCCCUUCCUUUGACGGCCGCCGCCGCCUCCUCCUCCCGCCACGGCCCGCCUCUGCCCUGCCUCGCCCCCCCCAACCCCCCUCCUCCUUCCCUUCCCAUGCGGCGGCGGCCACCUCCUCCCCCCGCGGCCUCGCCGCCAACGCCGCCCGGCCGCGAUCACGCCCCUGCGACUGGUGGCCACCCUCCGUCGCCUCUGCCCAGCCACGCCUCUGCCGCGCCCCCCGCCCUCGCCUCUGCCAGUCACGUCACUGUCUACCUGCUCUCCCGCGCCUCGCCUCCAUCACCGUCUCCAUCCUCCCUCUGCGUGCCGCCGCCGCCCUCCCUCUGCACGAACGCUGGUGCCUCCGCUCGCCAAGAUCCACGGACGGGCCUCCGCUGCAUCGCUCCCGUUGGAGAUCUCCCACCACGCCCUGCCACAAAGAAACACCCCGCCAGCCGUCGUCCCCGCCAUCAAUCUCCGCCCCCACCUCCCUCACUCCCCCCAUCGACGCCCCUCUACAGAGCCCUAUUAUGGCAGAGGAGGAGCUCAAGGUGGAGGUCGAGGAGGAAGCGAACGGCGGAGUUUGGAGUCUGUCUGGGCGUUGGCAGUGAUGCUGCUCGAUCAUUACCGGUGGACGAGUAGGAAGAGAUGGAGCAUGAGUCCCUGGAGUUCAGCCACGUGUCACCGUCAGGGUUAGGAAGAGAAGCAUGGGGCGUUGCAGAUCCUAAGCAGUAGAGUAGCGUUGUUGUUGAUUGUAUAUCAUUCAUCACUAUCAGCCUUGGAGCGUGCAAGAGGUGGUCGGCUAGCCGGACCUGGACCGACCGGCAAUCCUUUCUUCCGAUCACUCUCAAGCUUUGUUCCUGUAGGCGUACCUCAGCAUAUUCUACCCCGACCUGCAUGAAGACAUGGACGAUUCAUGGGCUGGCACUUUGAAACUCAGGGUGUGUCUUCUGUCAAAUUGGCGUACAAGUUAGCCCGAGACAAGGCACUGAUCCAUGCUGCAACAGGCUCUGGUGUUCCUGGACAGGAUGUUCUAUCAUGGAAUUAUAGAUGGAGUGCUAAUUGUCCAGGUAAAGUCCAACACUUUAUGUUGAGCAAGAAUUUCUAAUGGCCUGAUGUGUCCUAUCAAGUUUUCCAUGUUUCAAAGUGAUGCUUAUUAGUUUUGUGCACACUCAAGGUUGUUUCAGCAUGCAGUUGAUUAAUGGCGAUGGUAAGUCUCCAUUUCAUUAUGCUAUUAAAACUACUACUGUUAGCCCUUGGUACUGCUUUUUGAGCUUUUGUUUUUCUUUUAGACAAAAGGGAGAUCUCCGUCUAACUGUUGUUUAGUGUGAUAGCUUUUCCUAAGCUGAAACGGAAUAUUAAGAGAUGGUGUUGUCCAUUAUAUUGGAUACUGUACCUCAUUGAUUGUGCGAUAUAUUGACAUACAUCAUAACUUGCUCUUAAUUUGCACAGUUGCUAGCUACAAUUGUUGGGCAGAAUGAAUAGCAUGGAAGAGGCGAUGUGUUCUUGUGGGAAAAUCAUUUUUUCUCUCGGGUCCUGCUUUUGAUUUUCUGAUUUUUGUUUGCUGUAAAUACGAGGAUUGCAGAUCUCUGAAAGAAGAGAAGAGGAAUAAACCUAGAGUAAAUAUUUGGAAAGCACAGAAUCUCUUGGUUCAUUUCUCUCACAGUGAACUAAGAAUAACUUCAUCUGGGUGCCUCUUGGUUGAUUUAUCUCACAUUUUGUUUUGUUUAGAGACUUUUCCAAUCCAUUUACAGUUCUCGAAUUAAUAGAUGAAAUGUUUUCUUGGAUGCCUCUUCGCGGCCAGGACGCAGUUCAGACUGAGGUUUUCUGGCUUGUUACACACAUAACACUGAGGUAAUGGGGCUGACUUGGGACAUGUUAAGGUGGCCUGUGAGCAGAGAGUGCGCCUGGGGCGGCUGACGGCUACUGUCUCAACCUAUGGUUCUUGCACGUUAGGGGUAAGCAAGAUGUCAAAGGAAUAGAAAUCCUGAUUUUCUUGAAUUAUUGCCUGGUUAUCAUGUAUUUAUGUGCAGCUAUGAGCUAAACAUUUGGUUUUAGUUAACACUUAACAUACUAUAUAUUGGAUGGCAGAAAAGCUGCUGAGAUUGGAUGAAUGCUAAAAUAUACAUUCUGAAGUGAUUUUGUUUCAUUUUUUCUGCUCAGUUUCAACACAGGCAUUGAUGAAACGGGAACAUCAGAUUCAUAUAAUUAUAUGUUGCAUAAUAUUGUGGUUUAAUGUACUCGAUUAGGCUCUAGGUUGUGUCCUGUCCAGUUCAUGUAUCCACGUAUAAUUGAUAAUCAUGCACAAUUGGAUUACAGAUUCCUUUGAAAAAGAGUAACUGCACUGAAUGUUUUGACCCUAAAAUUCAUCUUAAAAUAUGGCCAAGAUCUGGUGAUACAACAAUUAGUGGGCUGUUGAGCAAUUUUUUUUCCUUUGUCUUUUCAGCUCAUGCAGGUCCUGGAAGGAUGGAAUCAUGGAACUAACCAAAUGUUUUCAGCAUUCCCUUUUACUUUGCACUUGUAUUAUUUCCCUAUCUUGCUCCCGAGCUGCCUAUUUUGUUCUGUUCAGUCGUGUUGUAGAAAGGAUGUCACCCCUAGCCAUGUUUUGGUGCCACUAGCUGCAAUAUAAUGUUACAACCAGUUCAGGUAAGUUAUCGUUACCCUUAUGUAUAGACCAGUUACUUCUUGCUGGUAUCAUGCAAAACAUGACUCAAGUGUCCAUGCUUCAUUUUGUUUUGUAUCAAAAAAUUCAAGUGUACAUGCUUCAUUUUGUUUUACUAAUUUAAUCUAUUACGUGCUGGUAUCAUGCAACACAUGACUUGAGAGCUUUUGUGAGUUCUUUUGGCAACAUGCUAAAUUUCAAUUUUUUGACCCCUGCUUUUGCUAUUAGAAUAUCAGUCUAGAAAUAAUCAAUGCACUGUUUCUAGCUUGGAAAUGUUCAGGUUUGAUGAAAAGGAUAUGUCUCACUUGAAGCAUGUUGUUGUUCUUAAAGAAGCUUAUUAUUGUUUUUAUAUCAGGAAAAAAUAUUCUUGAUAAGAUUUGAAGCAAAAAAAAAUAUGAUCAAUAAUGUUGCAGAUAGUUCUGACAAGAUUCGGCCUGAUCUUGCCGUGUUCUGAUAAAGUUGGAGUUCUUGCUUUUGAUGUUAGUUUCAGUUCUCCUCUGCAUUUGAAAGUGCAUUCAAGACAUUAUCUCAUCUCACAGAACACAAUGACAACCAUGGAUGUUAUGCUUGUUGUUGUCAGUACUUGCAUUCAUAAUUGGAUACUUUUGGUCUGAGUUUAAUAUUAUGUUUUGCCAAAGGACAUCAUAUUAUUUGUUUUCGGGUCUUUUCAAAUAUGUACAUGGAUUGUAUUAUCACGAACAUGUAUUUCAUAUGAAAUCAUUUUUAUUGGUAAAA